rnacentral:lncRNA from 1 species
UCAACCAACACACACAAAUCAAUGUAAUUCACAUAGAUAAGUAAAUUGAAUUCACAAUUUAUGAAACGCAAUUAGAAGUAAUCAAAUCAUAUCGCAAGCAUAAACAUGUAUUUCGAAUCCCCCCCUAGCCAAGGGGGGGUUUAGUUCCUCAUACACACAAAACAAAGAGAAUUGAAUUUAAACAUUGAAACCAAAGGAAAAGAAACACCUAGAAAUUCCAGCGACGCGAACUUGAAUUGCAUGAACUUCCAAGCUUCCUUCUCCUCCUCCUUGGUGCGGCAAGGACCUUGGACAGGUUCUUUGGGGUUAUGGAUGGCGUAGAAUGGAUGGGGGAUGUGUGAUGGUGUUUAGGGUUGAUGGGUGGUGCGGCUAGGGAUGAUUUUGGGCAGAAAAUAUGGAAUAUGGUGGUGGAAAGGUGCGGCAGAAAUCAAGGUUUAAUUUCUGGCGUGAAUGGUUAUGUAUGAGAGGUGGUGAUCUGAUCUAGGGGUUAAUAUGAGUAUAUAUAGGCACUUAAAACCCUAGGGUAAU